rnacentral:lncRNA from 1 species
CAAGGGUGGCUGGAGGCUGCCUGAAGUCUGGCUCAGCCCAGGGGAAAGGGAUGAGCAGGGCCUCACCAGGACAUGGAGGGAGGAUCCCCUGUGAUCCAGAGAAGGCCAUAGGGUACUUACCCCCACCUGUGCCAAUCCCCCUGAAAGAUUUUCCCCACGCACAGUAAAAGGAAAGGCUCUCAAAGCAACCCGGGGGACCACAGCAGGGGUGAUGGGAACCCUUUCUAGGGCGGUUGUCUGCUGUCUUCAUAGGCAGGAAGCCACUUCCUGUGGCCCCAACGGUGCCCUGUGAAAAGCCAGGCCCUGGCCCAGCAGCCAAGAGGGCCAGGAUGGGUUCCCCCAGACCCAUUGUCCUAAGAGCAGAUUUGUGUUUUUCAGAGCAACUCUUCACAGCUUCUCCUCUUUCCUAGGUGACAGUGACAGCCAGCGAUGGGCAGGCAGCUUACUCCCAGCCUGGCCUGAGUCUGUGGCCCCAGCGUGAGAUUACUGCAGUGAGUUCUGACCUCAGCAUUGCCAUGGGGAUGCUCGGAUGCCAGGUUGCCAGCAGCAGUACCUUUUCACCCGGGGGAGUGGGAGGGAACCGUGGCUGAUGCUGACUGCCUAUGAUGUGGCCUGCUCUUGCCUGCUGGGGCUGUUUGUCCCCAGACAUAUGUUCCAGAUCUCAGCUAAGUGGGGUGGGCCAGGGGACUCACUCAGGACCUGCGGGCUCUAUUGUGUGUCUGUGUGUUUGGGGUGUGGCGAGAGGUGUUUAUUAGACCUCAUGGGGAGCCUCAUUUUCAUGCCUCCCUGGGCUGACCUGGGCUGCUGAUCACGUGCUCCUAAUGGGCCUCAGAUUGACAUUUGCAGCAACCUGGUCUCCAUAGCAACCAGCUGUGACAUCACAAAGAACCCACAGAGUGGAGGAAGCUUAAAUGCCUGUUUGGGGGAGACAGAGCCUUUGGUCCCUCUCCUUAGGCCCCUCCUGUGAUAGUCGAAGAGGCCUAGGAACGCUGAGAGAGCCAUGGCCUCCGCUUCUCUGGAGCCUGCUUAUCUUGAGAGAGCAUGACAGCCUCAGCAGAAUGGUGUCCAAGACGCAGGGGAGAGAAAGAUUGAUUUGGCCCGGUGGGACGGUCCAGCAAAGCUUCCCAGAGCAGAUGAAGAAACCAAGUUGCCCAAGAUCACACAGCAAGAGGAGGCUCCGGCUCAAGCGCUUACUGCAAGUGCAGGUGAACUUGGGCAAGUGAUUUAUCUUGUCUGUAAGGACAAUGACAGUGCUUCAGAGUAUUUUUGGGAUUAGCGGAGUCAAUCGAUGCAUUUCACCACUGCAGUGAGCAAAUGCUCAUCAAUGUAUGCUUGAUCAAGGUUAACUAUUGUUUAUUACGGUCAUAAGUCACCUAACCUCUGAGCCUUAGUAUUCUUGGCUACCAAAUGGAGGUAAUGAUACUUCCUGAACAGAGCUGUUGGGAAGAUAAAAUGAGAUAAUGUGCCCAAGUCCUAUCCUGGCACCUGGCUCCCCACAUGUUCACUCCUUCCCCCUGCGAUGCUCCCUCCCGUCAAAUUUACGCUUCUAGCAUAAAUGGCACGCCAGUCUAAGAAAAGCACCACUUGUGAACUUGAGCGCUUAUAGGCGCGAGCUGAGGAAGCAUAAAGCGACUUCCCUCUCCCACCUGGUGAGAGAGCCUCCACGGGCUCUGGGGUAAAAUGGUCGAGUGCUGAGUGGGUGUUCUUGGUGCUGGAGGGAUCCUGCUAGACCCAGUUCCAGGAUUCUCCAUGGGGCCUGGAGGUGGAUUCUCCAGGGGGGCCAUUAGCUAACGGGGCAGAGGCAGCCAGUCCUGGCUGUCAGUCUCGGCAGGGCAGUUGGGGCACUUCCACAGGGAGAUGUCUUUGGUUGGGUUGACCAGACGUAGAGCAGAAUGUGCUGGGAUACAGGGCAGGGACAACUUCCCCUGAAGACUGAGACAGACUUAAGAUUCCUUCUCUCUGUCUUUUUUAAACAAACCACAUUUUUUUUUUUGAGACAGAGUCUCACUCUGUCGCCCAAGCUGGGGUGCAAUGGUGCAAUCUCGGCUCGCUGUAACCUCCGCCUCCCGGGUUCAAGUGAUCCUCCUACAACAGCUUCCUGAGUAGCCGGCAUUACAGGCGCGCACCAGCACGCCCAGCUCAUUUUUUUUUUUUUUUUUUUUUGAGACAGAGUCUUGUGUUUUGUCUUUUUUUAAUAGAGUCUCACUUCAUCACUCAGGCUGGAGUGCUGUGGCACAGUCUUGGCUCACUGCAACCUUCGCCUCCUGGGUUCAAGCAAUUCUCCUGCCUCAGCCUCCCAAAUAGGUGGGAUUACAGGCACACACCACCACACCCAGAUAAUUUUUUUGUGUGUUAUUAGUAGAGAUGGGGUUUCACCAUGUUGGCCAGGCUGGUCUCGAACUCCUGACCUCAGGUGAUCCACCCACCUUGGCCUCCCAAAGUGCUGAGAUUACAGUCAGGAGCCACCUUGCCAAGCCAAUUUUUGUAUUUUUAGCAGAGAUGGGGUUUCACCAUGUUGGCCAGGCUGGUCUUGAACUCUUGACCUCAGGUGAUCUGCCUGCCGCUCUUGCACUCUUAGUCUCAAGCAGUCCUCCCAUCUUAGCCUUCCAAAACACUGGAACUAUAGGCAUGAGCCAGUAGGUCUGGGCAUUAAACAAGCCACAAAUUAAUGAGCACUUAUUACGUUCCAGGCACUAUGCCAAGCAGUUUACAUGGAUUCCAGCCACUACCGUCUGGGUAGCCAGCCUUAGGCAAAUGCUAAUGUCUCUAAGCCUCAGUCUCCUCCCUUGUGAAAUGGGCUUUGGGAUGGUGUCUACUUCAUAGGGCUGUCGUGAAAAGUAAAUGAGCGCAUGCAUUAGUGGUCUUACUAAAUGCUAGCUGGAUGUUGGUGUUCCAUCUAGACAUUCACCCGUUUGAGCCUCACAACAAUCUUCACUUAUUUGCAUGAGAAAAAAAUUCGGAGAGGUUAAAUCAGUGGUUCCUAGGUGCUGACCUGACCACAUACAAACGACAUGGAGAGCAUGAGAGAAACCAGGGUCCUUGCGGAGGAUGGUUCCCUGAGUGAGCCUGGCAGGGGCCCCGAUGAUGCAGGUUUCUCAGGCCUGCAGCAUCCCCCGUGAUUUGGAAGUGGGGAGCCCUGCUGAGUUAGGUGAUUUGGCAGAGGCCCCACUGCCGGUAGAGAUAGAGGUGGGAUUUGAAUGUUCAGGCAGGACCCUAAAUCACCAUUAUUUACUCUGAAGAGCAUGCCCCUGGUGGGCCUGCCCUGACCUGCUCUCUGCCACUUCCUAGGGCUGGAGGAUUCUGGCCUGGCCGAAUCUCUGAGGAGGAGGGCUGGGUGGAGCUCUCAUGAGCAGGUUCACUCAAGCAGCCAUUUUCAGGUCACCUAGUC